rnacentral:rRNA from 1 species
UACGUAGGGUGCAAGCGUUUGUCCGGAAUUAUUGGGCGUAAAGAGCUCGUAGGCGGCUCGUCGCGUCGGCUGUGAAAACCUGGGGCUCAACCCCGGGCCUGCAGCCGAUACGGGCGAGCUAGAAUUCGGUAGGGGAGACUGGAAUUCCUGGUGUAGCGGUGAAAUGCGCAGAUAUCAGGAGGAACACCGGUGGCGAAGGCGGGGUCUCUGGGGCCGAUAUUGACGCUGAGGAGCGAAAGCGUGGGGAGCGAACAGG